CCGAAUUGAGUGUCAUGAAUGUGUUUCUUGUGAUUGAUUUGUUGUGAUAUCUCAAGUCAGUUAUCACUUGGGAGAUUUGAUAGACAUUGACCAGAAACUAUUAUGGCUGUAGCAUGUGGUAUUCAUCUAUAUUUGCGUUUCCAUACUGUUGUUGAACCAUCCAAUUAUGGUAAGGACAUCCUUUUUUCGUCUUGACAAUGGUUACAAGCCUGGGACCGACCAAGGAAACAAAGGCUGACAACUAGGCCUGCAAGAUAAAGCACCUAAGAAUCGGGAUCGAAACAUACCAAUUACCAAAUCCACCUAUCUUCGCUGGCAUAACCCUAAAAUAGAUCAUUACCAACUGAGGCUUCCAAGCCAACUUGAUUAGCUUGCGAAGGAUGAAUGAGACCACAUGGAAAUGUGAACGUUUCUCUUCAUUCAAGAUUCAUUUUCCUUAAACAUUGACGGUGUUUAUUUAUAAUAUUAGAGAGAGGUCUUCAAGUCCAGGAGGAUGGGACAUUUGCUAAUUGCAUACUAAGAAUAAUAUGUGAUGAAUGCAACAUCAAAGAGAUCGGAGCGUCUGUUAAAACUUUGCUUAGUUAAUUCUAUGAAGAGUUUCUGUGCUAUUCAUUGUUCAAAUGUAUGUAAUGAAUUAAGGUGCACUGAGGAGAAUGUCUCUAUUCGAAGUGACUGACUGGGCUUUAUUUUAAGCCUUCUGGUUACAAUAUUUUUUGACUUCUAGUGAUGAAAAAUUAAUUUUGUGUUGUUUAUGUGACUAUUAUUAUCAUUCGUGAGACGAAAAUAGAACAAAAUUUAAUAGCUUCACUUCUUAAAUGACAUAGUUUUUCCUUUUUCCAUCUUUUUUCACAUUACACCAUCUUCAAUGGGGGACUGCUAGAUCACAAAAUUACUUAGAAGUUGUACUGUGUGACAAUUGCUUGCAUUUAUCUACUUCAUACUUUUAUAGGAGUCUAUUUUCAGUAUUAUUUUGAUCACAAUGACAAACAAAGACCGAUUCUCAACAUUUAGCAUAUGUCUGGAUAAGUGUUUCUAGGCGUUUAAACACCUUGAUCAAAUAAUACUUUUGGUUAAACCACUUUUUAUCCACACAUUUAGUAGGACCACAAGUAUGGACCACUUCUCCAUUUACCCCUGGUUAUAAUAAUAACUCUAAGAUGAAAUUAAAGUUUUCCUGAAAAUUAUAACAUAAACAUUUGGUACUUCUGACAGUUGUAGAUAUGUGUCUUUGCAAUUUUUUUACUUAGUUCACAUUGUGACUGUUGAACCUCUUUGUGUUUUUUAGUGGAAAUCAUAUUGCUAUAACAU
rnacentral:lncRNA from 1 species